rnacentral:misc_RNA from 1 species
UUUCUCUGCAUCAGGACUAAAGCUGGUUCCAAACCUGACGCUGUUGGUAGAGGAAAGCUCCUUGGAAUAUUUCCUCUUCUCCUCUGCUGGUAACCCAAAGAAACGAUGGGUUGCAUCUUUAACUCCAUCGAGUACCUCAAGUGGCACCCCAUGGUUAACCAGCUGAAAGAAACCAAAUUUCUCAGCAGCUUCGCAGACUGAUUCAGCGACUUUAGGAUCCUCAUUCCAGUUGGACAUGUCAAUGACGGGAAUGGAUUCCUGUGGGAUGAUAUUGAUCAAUGCUUCUUGGGGUUGAAUAUAUUGGGAAGGAAGGCUUUUGAUGCCCAAAUCAGAAAGACCCUUCACUCCAUUCCCUUUGUUUAUGACAAAAUCAGUAAUAUCAAAGGAAUCGUUGGAUGAUACUGCCAUUGUUGGAGCCAUUGCUUUGCUUAUCAAGAUUUUUAACUGAGAAACUCACAAG